ensembl:miRNA
GGUGCCAAGGGCCGUCCGGCGUCCUAGGCGGGGCGCCGCGGGACCUCCCUCCUGUCUGUGGCGGUGGGGUCCCGUGGCCGUGUUUUCCUGGUGGCCCGGCCGUGCCUGAGGUUUC